rnacentral:rRNA from 1 species
UCUGUAAGCCUGCGAAGGUGUGCUGUGAGGCAUGCUGGAGGUAUCAGAAGUGCGAAUGCUGACAUAAGUAACGAUAAAGCGGGUGAAAAGCCCGCUCGCCGGAAGACCAAGGGUUCCUGUCCAACGUUAAUCGGGGCAGGGUGAGUCGACCCCUAAGGCGAGGCCGAAAGGCGUAGUCGAUGGGAAACAGGUUAAUAUUCCUGUACUUGGUGUUACUGCGAAGGGGGGACGGAGAAGGCUAUGUUGGCCGGGCGACGGUUGUCCCGGUUUAAGCGUGUAGGCUGGUUUUCCAGGCAAAUCCGGAAAAUCAAGGCUGAGGCGUGAUGACGAGGCACUACGGUGCUGAAGCAACAAAUGCCCUGCUUCCAGGAAAAGCCUCUAAGCAUCAGGUAACAUCAAAUCGUACCCCAAACCGACACAGGUGGUCAGGUAGAGAAUACCAAGGCGCUUGAGAGAACUCGGGUGAAGGAACUAGGCAAAAUGGUGCCGUAACUUCGGGAGAAGGCACGCUGAUAUGUAGGUGAAGUCCCUCGCGGAUGGAGCUGAAAUCAGUCGAAGAUACCAGCUGGCUGCAACUGUUUAUUAAAAACACAGCACUGUGCAAACACGAAAGUGGACGUAUACGGUGUGACGCCUGCCCGGUGCCGGAAGGUUAAUUGAUGGGGUCAGCGCAAGCGAAGCUCUUGAUCGAAGCCCCGGUAAACGGCGGCCGUAACUAUAACGGUCCUAAGGUAGCGAAAUUCCUUGUCGGGUAAGUUCCGACCUGCACGAAUGGCGUAAUGAUGGCCAGGCUGUCUCCACCCGAGACUCAGUGAAAUUGAACUCGCUGUGAAGAUGCAGUGUACCCGCGGCAAGACGGAAAGACCCCGUGAACCUUUACUAUAGCUUGACACUGAACAUUGAGCCUUGAUGUGUAGGAUAGGUGGGAGGCUUUGAAGUGUGGACGCCAGUCUGCAUGGAGCCGACCUUGAAAUACCACCCUUUAAUGUUUGAUGUUCUAACGUUGACCCGUAAUCCGGGUUGCGGACAGUGUCUGGUGGGUAGUUUGACUGGGGCGGUCUCCUCCUAAAGAGUAACGGAGGAGCACGAAGGUUGGCUAAUCCUGGUCGGACAUCAGGAGGUUAGUGCAAUGGCAUAAGCCAGCUUGACUGCGAGCGUGACGGCGCGAGCAGGUGCGAAAGCAGGUCAUAGUGAUCCGGUGGUUCUGAAUGGAAGGGCCAUCGCUCAACGGAUAAAAGGUACUCCGGGGAUAACAGGCUGAUACCGCCCAAGAGUUCAUAUCGACGGCGGUGUUUGGCACCUCGAUGUCGGCUCAUCACAUCCUGGGGCUGAAGUAGGUCCCAAGGGUAUGGCUGUUCGCCAUUUAAAGUGGUACGCGAGCUGGGUUUAGAACGUCGUGAGACAGUUCGGUCCCUAUCUGCCGUGGGCGCUGGAGAACUGAGGGGGGCUGCUCCUAGUACGAGAGGACCGGAGUGGACGCAUCACUGGUGUUCGGGUUGUCAUGCCAAUGGCACUGCCCGGUAGCUAAAUGCGGAAGAGAUAAGUGCUGAAAGCAUCUAAGCACGAAACUUGCCCCGAGAUGAGUUCUCCCUGACUCCUUGAGAGUCCUGAAGGAACGUUGAAGACGACGACGUUGAUAGGCCGGGUGUGUAAGCGCAGCGAUGCGUUGAGCUAACCGGUACUAAUGAACCGUGAGG